rnacentral:pre_miRNA from 1 species
UUGUUAUUCCCUCCGAUCCAUAUUACUUGUCGCUCAAAUGGAUGUAUCUAGAUGUAUUUCAGUGCUAGAUACAUCCGUUUGAGUGACUAGUAAUAUGGAUAGGAGGGAGUAGAAG